rnacentral:rRNA from 1 species
GACGAACGCUGGCGGCGCGCCUAACACAUGCAAGUCGAACGAGAGAGAGGGAGCUUGCUUCUUCGAUCGAGUGGCGAACGGGUGAGUAACGCGUGAGGAACCUGCCUCAAAGAGGGGGACAACAGUUGGAAACGACUGCUAAUACCGCAUAAGCCCACAGGUCGGCAUCGACCAGAGGGAAAAGGAGCAAUCCGCUUUGAGAUGGCCUCGCGUCCGAUUAGCUAGUUGGUGAGGUAAUGGCCCACCAAGGCGACGAUCGGUAGCCGGACUGAGAGGUUGAACGGCCACAUUGGGACUGAGACACGGCCCAGACUCCUACGGGAGGCAGCAGUGGGGAAUAUUGCACAAUGGGGGAAACCCUGAUGCAGCGACGCCGCGUGGAGGAAGAAGGUCUUCGGAUUGUAAACUCCUGUUGUUGAGGAAGAUAAUGACGGUACUCA